CCAUAUCUUCUCAAGUGCCACUGUGGAGCGCUUGCACUGCCUGUUGUGAACGCGCACAUCUGUGUAUGCUCUGCUGUGUAUUGUCUCCAGUAGUGCUGUGUGGGUGGCAAGUAAGUCUUUGAAGAAAAAGACUUUAUGAAAUGGCACAGAUGCAGCUGUGUUUUUCCAGGACUUGCACUUUUAGCAUCUGUGGUGUUAAUAGUAACCUCCAAAUCCUCAUUUCUUUUAUGAAUUUAUGUAGUAAAAUCUGUGCUUAGGUGGCGAGAUGCCUUUUACUCUUUAUGCUUUUGGCGUCUUUUUACCUAGUCAAUGGUAGCAGAGAGAAACUGACAUCUGGAGACAUUUGGGAGGUGACAGCACAGAAGAACUGAAAGCCUUCCUAAUGAACCAGUGCUCUCUGUGCAGUCAGAAGUGGCGCACGAGGCGGUGUUGUUGCUGUACUUUCUUUUUGCCUAGUUUAUUAAAUGCCUUUGCCUAUUCACGUUUCUGAAUACUCAUAUUUUUGUCCCAGGCUCCUGUGAGCUGUGGCAGUGUUUUGUGCACUUGUUCCCUAUCCAAGGUCAAGGAAAAUCAAAACCAGUAACAAAACCAGGAGUAGAAGUGAGAGUAUCAGAUUCCUGCUUGUUUGACUGAGCGUAAGGUAGAAGCUGCUUUAAUGGGUACUUUUUUACUUAGUGGGUGACUUUUGGAUACCUUGAGAGAACCUCCAUCAGCAACAGAGUAAUAGUGAAUGAACUUCUUAGUAAAUGAAAGACACGGGCAGAGGAAUACAAAUAAUUGCUUUGGGUAGGUCUUUUUAAUUUUUUUCUUAUUCUGAAAUAACAUAAAUGGUGUGACUCACAUUUCUUUAUAAGAACAAAGUUAUGCUUUCAAAGACUUAGUGUCCCCCCCCAUGCUGGGGGAUGGAAGGGUGGAGCACAGCCCUGCUGAAAACGACCUGGGAGUGCUGGCGGAUGGCAAGGUGGACGUGAGUUAGCGGCGUGCCCUUGCGGCCCAGAAAGCCAACCGUAUCCUGGGCUGCAUCAAAAGAAGUGUGGCCAGCAGGGUGAGGGAGUUGAUCCUCUGCUCUUUGCUGGUUGGGCCUCAUCUGGAGUACUGCUUCCAAAUGUGGAGUCCUCAGUACAGGAGAGGCAUGGACCUGUUCAAGUGUGGCCACAAAAAGGCCACAGAAAUGAUCCACAGAAUGGAACACCUUAUUGUGAGCAAGCUUAUGGCUUGCUCUGUGAACUAGCAUGAAGGAUGCUUGUUUUCUCUGAACGUAAAGAACAACAGGCCUUAUUUUAAAAACUACUCAAUCAGUUUUCUUUCUGGACCCACCCCCUAAAACUUUUAAUGCAUUUUGGAAAUGGGAUCCUCUGUUUCUCUUAUACUACUUAUCUUGCUUAUGGCAAGGCUUUA
rnacentral:lncRNA from 1 species